GGAUUAGAUACCCUGGUAGUCCACGCUGUAAACGAUGUCAACUAGACGUUAGAUUCCUUGAGGAUUUAGUGUCGCAGCUAACGCGUUAAGUUGACCGCCUGGGGAGUACGGCCGCAAGGUUGAAACUCAAAGGAAUUGACGGGGGCCCGCACAAGCGGUGGAGCAUGUGGUUUAAUUCGAUGCAACGCGAAGAACCUUACCAGCCCUUGACAUCCUGUGAACUUUUUAGAGAUAAAUUGGUGCCUUCGGGAACACAGUGACAGGUGCUGCAUGGCUGUCGUCAGCUCGUGCCG
rnacentral:rRNA from 1 species